rnacentral:rRNA from 1 species
UACGUAGGGUCCGAGCGUUGUCCGGAGUUACUGGGCGUAAAGCGCGCGCAGGCGGCUUCAUAAGUCUGGCGUGAAAGCCCCCGGCUCAACCGGGGAGGGUCGUCGGAGACUGUGGAGCUUGAGGGCGGUAGGGGCUGGUGGAAUUCCCGGUGUAGUGGUGAAAUGCGUAGAGAUCGGGAGGAACACCCGUGGCGAAGGCGGCCAGCUGGGCCGACCCUGACGCUGAGGCGCGAAGGCGUGGGGAGGCGAACGGG